AGGCAGCGUGAUUCUUAGGGAGAUCCCUCCCCCUUCUAUCUUAAUCGGUGCUUAACUUUCCUUCCACUGAAAUGAAAGGCUAUUAUUCCAUCCCCCAGAGAAGGACCCAGUGACUCAUCCACACGGACGGACGUGUAAAAUAACCCCAUCGGGGAUUCUUUCCUGAGCAGCACAGGAGCUGAGAGCAUCAGCACCUGAAGGAGAAGGGGCUCAGGUGACAGGCUGUGCAGGUUCCAGAAGGGACCUGAUGAAGGAAGUCUUGUCAAGCUUCUUAAUUACCCUCCGAUGAAUUAGAAGUUGCUGGGUGCCUGUAACUUCUCCAUCCUUCUUGGGCAGUGUGGCUUACACCGAAUGCUGGAGUCGUUUCUGUAGGUUCCUGAAGAGUUGAAGGGCCCUGGAGGCUGCACCCGUGAGGCUGAAUGAACGAAGGACCUGGGCGCGUGGGAAGGAGGAAAGUGGCCUAUGAGGCUCCUCGCUGAGGCUGGCAAGUACCUGGGCACCAGGGAGCUCCUGUACCUUCCUACUCCUGGCUUUGUGCGGGGUGUGUG